GAGAACUGCUGUCCCGAUGGUCAGAAUGAUGGAGUAACGUCCGGAAAUGGCCACCUGAAACUGCGGCAUGCUGCCGGUUGGCGGUGUGAAGCCCGCUGGAGUCGGAGGAAGUUCGCCCAAGUCGGCGGAUGAUACUUCGGAGGUCUUUGCG
rfam:Ruminococcus sp. CAG:330, WGS project CBIH01000000 data, contig: 172